UCUAGGACCCCUCAAGGACCUUCCUAGGUAAUAGGACCCGUUCUAACGUCGUGUCCUUAAGCUAGUAUUAUGGGAGAGACCCAAUCCAUGCCUUUUCACGAAAAGAUAUGAAGAGGCUAGAAUACGAAGCAUCUGCAAACACAUCAGAAGCAUGCAUACAUGACGACAACAACAAAUGGAGAGAGGAGAAUGAAGCACGUACCCGGGCAACAUACUCAAGCCAGAUAUCUCGACGAAAAGCCUACGACGAACCCUUCUAUUC
rnacentral:lncRNA from 1 species